rnacentral:rRNA from 1 species
UGCCAGCAGCCGCGGUAAUACGAAGGGACCUAGCGUAGUUCGAAAUUACUGGGCUUAAAGAGUUCGUAGGUGGUUAAAAAAGUUGGUGGUGAAAUCCCAGAGCUUAACUCUGGAACUGCCAUCAAAACUUUUUAGCUAGAGUAUGAUAGCGGAAAGCAGAACUUCUAGUGUAGAGGUGAAAUUCGUAGAUAUUAGAAAGAAUACCGAUUGCGAAGGCAGCUAUCUGGGAUACAACUGACGCUGAGGUACGAAAGCGUGGGGAGCAAACAGGAUUAGAUA